rnacentral:ncRNA from 1 species
GUAUUCUUUCGCGCAUGAACCGCAUCCAGUCCGAACUCCGACGUCGCCGCUCGCCGCUCCCCUAGGGACGCCGCUGGCUUCGUCACGGACUCGCGCCACCAACAACCUUGGGCGCAAGCUGUUCGAAUCAUGAAAGCCACGGCAUGCCGUGGCUUUUCU